GGAAGGAUGGUCUAGUGCUUAAGGCACUAGACUGGGACUCUGGAGAUAUGGGCUCAAGUCCUGGCUCUGCCA
rnacentral:tRNA from 1 species